ACAAAACCUUCGUUCUCGCUAAUCUAGAAAGUUAUCUAACUAAGUGAUUAUCUUUUUUUUUUUUAUUAAUACUAAAAUUUCACAGACAAAAAAAGUUUUACGUCAAUAUUACAAAUUCAAAGAUACAGAUCCGAAGUCGUCUAUGUCUCUAAAUUUUAGCAUGUGGAUUAUAGGAUUAUAAACAAUCUACAAUUAACUUUGAAUUUUUAGGGCAAAAGCGGAAACAAAUAAGAUAGAGAUAUAAAUAUAACCUGAAUGUGAAGUAUUUUAUCCCGUAAUGUUAUUUUUCGAUAUAUAAAUGACUGAAAAAAUCAAUUUAUGGUAUCUCUACAAUUUCGGCACCUCAAUUUGAGGCCAAUAGAAACAAGACUCCUCCCGAUAACACUUUCAUUAGAAUUUUAAAAGAAAAUUAAGUGAAAAAAUAUCUCUAAACACAGAUCCUAGAACCCUUGUGGGACUUUCUUUGUUUAUGUGCUUUAAACUAUUUUUUUCAAAUUGAUCUUAAAAUUAAUAAAAGUAAAUGAAAUCGUUUGACUAAGUAAAAAUACCUAGUUCAAACUGGGCUCAAUGUGAAUAUGCGCUAAAUAGGGAAUGUAUUGUGUUUCACGGCAAGAAACACAAAAGUUUCGUUCUCAUACAAAUAUUUUCGGCUUUAUUUAUUGUGUUCCAAUUGUGUUCUAUUUCCUUGCAGCAGAUGCAAAGUCAGAAGUUUUCAGUAUAAAGAGUCGAUAUAGCCAUGUCUGUAGUUAAAUCAAAAUCGACCGUCAUAGGAACAGUUGGUAGAUUACAAUCUAAUUGAUAGAAAAGAAUUCUAGCUUUUGGCGUAAAGGUUAUAAGUGCUCGGCGCUAUUACACAAAAUUUUAUGCAAAUCCUUUGAUCCAUAUUUUUUGAUUCUAAAAAAUUGACGAGCACGCAAAACACUUAUAACGUUAACGCCUCUCUCACCAAAAAGGCCAUUCACUUGAUUCUUGUCACAGAUGUUCGGGAAGAGUGUAUCAACAUAACAAAACAUAAAAAUCUAUAAUUGAAAGUACAUUGCCCGCGAAAUUUUAAAAGUCACGUAACUUUUUGAACGCACAUUGUACAGGUUCCAAUAAGGCUUUUCGCAACGCUUUCCCAACUCCAGAAUCACCAAAUUCAGUCAACAUUUCCAACAGGUCUUGUUAGCACGCCCUUUGGCUUUCGAAACUGUUCGAUCUAUUGAAAUUUAUCUACAUAUGUCCUAUUCUUUAACCGCGUGGCUGUUUUGGAAGAUUAGCUAUAACCAGCCUCAGAUUUUUUAAACGUUUUUUGCGGAACUCACUUUAUUUUUGUGGAUCUUAAAUUAGUUUUACCGAUUUCGUUUAGGCAUCCAGUUUUAAUACCAAUAAAAAUAAUAACCGCAUUUAACCACCCGACUAUGGUUUUAAACUACUGAACGGAGUCUGUUAUAUAUGUUAUUAUAUAUAAAAUCGAUUUCUGAGUAAAUGUAAUUUAAGUUUUUGCGGGACUAACCUUUAAUAUAGAUAAUUAAAUAUAAAUAAAGUAAAGAAAACAAAUUUUAACCGCAUAUGUAUAUUUUUAGUCAUUAGACUAACCCUAUUAACCUCAUAUGUUUAUUUUUACUCAUACUUAAAAUAAAUAUAUAAAUAUAUAAUUUUUCAAAAGAUAUUAAAACCUUUUCCUUUUCUUAGAAACGUCUCGCCACAUUGUUUGGUCAUUAUGACUACCCGAAUUGAAUGAAUAUAUAUCGUCUCUGGUAGCUAAAAAUGAAACACUAAAGCUUUUACAUUUGGAAGAAGAUAAGAUGAAGUAGUUGUAAUUUUAUUAUUUUUGGGAUUAUCAAAAAUUCGAACAUCCGUAUGUAAUUAAUUUGUAUGAUUUAACAGCUUGUAAUCAAGGAGGAAUCCCACCUUUAGAGAAUGGGAAAAAAUAUCUUUUUUGCAGUCGCUUUGUAGGUCAAUGAAGACCGUUCUUUAUAAAUCCAUAUAUUAUUUACAAUUUAAGCCUGAAACCGAUUUUAGUCUCAACAAACCAAACAUUUUCUUGCUCUGGAGGGUUUUUUGUCGUCGAUGAACUAAAAUGUUUUCGAAAUUUAUCAGCGACGAUAUGACUUACAAGACCCUUGUAAAAUUUGUUGAAAACCAAGUUUCACCUUUGAAAAACAAAUUUUAUUUGAUUAUCUCCGAGAUCACUCUUUAUCGGCCUCUAAAGGCGCCUACUGCUUGGAUCUGAAGAUGGCUACGACUACUGGUUACAUGUGAUUCGAACGCUAGUGUCAGAUUAACGAAUUAGCAGACCAGUUUUGGAAGGGGUCGUUUUAUGCAAUGCACUGGUCUUAUUAUAUUGACAUUCAACUCUCACGUACACCAUAUGUAAUGAUUGGCUAUCAAAGAACCUCAAUCCGCGAGUACAUUCCUUAAUUAACUAGAUGCAAUAACUGCUUCCAAUUGGGCCAUUUGUACAAAACUUGUAAAAACAACUAAACUUGCUACAACUGCGGACCCACAAUGUACCAAUUGUAGUGAAGAUCCCUAACAAAUGCUAAAACCAAACUGCCCUUACAAUUCUUAGGACUCGUAACACUAAAACCACUCCGCUCCCAUUUGCAUCAGUAACCAAAAACCACAAAUCAGCCAAAGCACUGACCUAAUCCGAAACGCAGAACCUCAGCAUCUCAACAAACCCAAAGAACAACAAGAAUCUCCUCCCUCCAGGACUCCAUCAUCAUACGCAGAUCUAACUUCUUCAAAAAAUAGUAAACUAAAAAGUAUAAGCUUACCUUUAACUAAUCAAAAACAAUCCCCAAACCCCGUGCAUCCCCAUCAAUACAUCUAAACGCAUAAUUGCAUCGCACAAAGCAGGUAAUAAAAUUCGCCAUUAGCAAUCUAAAACAAACAAACCAAUCCAGGGGACGCGUCUAGCGCCUGUUGCGACAUGGAAAUUUACUAAUCUUACCAACCAAUUUAUACCCCCACUUAACUAUUUUAAUGAUAAAUAUAUUACAAAUUAAAUAGUUUAGACCAUACAUGAAUGCCCUUCAGGAAACCCACACAUCCCAUACCUUAUCCCUUCAUAUCCCCAUAAACUUUAAAAUGGACUGCAGUUUCUGUUCGAAUGCAUUCGGUGACACAUCCAUUUUAGUGCACAAAUCUUUCUCCCACAGGCAAGACCAACUAAACCAUGAUUUCGAAACGGUAUUUCGAAUAAUUCAAAAACUAACGUUAUUCUAUAUAUCAAUUUUGCCUUAAGAACCUGCAAAAUAAUAAUACCCAUACCCAUCGAAAUAAUUCACCCAUCCAAGCUGGCAUCAUCACUGGGCUUUCCCCAGAGCCAACUCAAAAGCCAAACAUUUAUAGAUCUUUCAGAUUUAUUCUCCUAAACGACAAAUCUCCUCCCCAAUACUCAACCCACAACACGUUCACGCAUAUAGACCUUUCGCUUGUAUCUGCCGAACUAGCUUCCGAAACUAAAUGGAAUAUGAUCGACUACCUUAAUGGUAGCGACCACUUUCCAAUCCUUAUUUAAAUGUUCCCUCGCCCUUCCUCACCAAGUUUCAUUGCCAAACCUUCUUUUAACCUUAAAAAACAAACACUGAACUCUUUAGCAAUAAAAUCUUAUAUUUCAAAUCUCAAUACCCAACUCUGUAACAGUAACCAGGAACCAGGAACUUUUUAUACCCGUUACUCGUAGAGUAAAAGGUUAUACUAGAUUCGUUGAAAAGUAUGUAACAGGCAGAAGGAAGCGUUUCCGACCAUAUAAAGUAUAUAUAUUCUUGAUCAGG